AAAAGAUUGAAAAAAAUAUUCGCGACAAGAAUAUAUAAUUUACUAUAAUUUCUAUAAUUAUUAUAAUUUCAAAGAAAAUUUGGUUUCAAAUGCAUUAGCAAACUUAUUAACACAGUUUAUGUCUUACUGAAUUUAAAAGAAUGGCAUUUUAUUGAAUGUACUACUCAAUCUAUCAAUGUGUUUCCUGUAGUGUGAAACAAAUAUUGCUAAACUCGUUAUGCUUGCCAAUAUGAUAUAACUAUCAUCUAUUAACAAUCUGUCUCUGCGUUAUAACCGAAAUAUCUGGAUGUUAAUUGUCAUUGCCAGAUAAUAAUUGAUAGACGUCACGUUCAGUCCGCCUAUUAAUUGCGUUACCUAGCCGGUCGAUAUGUCGGCAAUAAGAGAUUCAAUUUUUUAAAUCAAAAUUUGAAGCGAGAGAAACGUAGUUACAAAAUCAGAAUCAUUUUUAGUGCGACACACAAUAUCCGGUGAAAAAAAUUGGGAAUUAAAGCUCAACACAAUCUCUGUUUCUCGAAAAAAAAAUUAUUUUAAAAUCAUUCUUCGAAUUGAGAAUUUUUUAAAUAAAUUAUUAAUUAAUUUUAAAAUAAUCCUUAUGAAAAAACUUUACAAAUAUCUAAGUAUAUAUAACCUCCUCUCUUGAAGUUUUCUUAUAGAUUAAUAUUCUCAUCUGGAUCCUCUUUUUAUAUUCUAGGAGACUUGAUUUACGCUCGUCCUUCAAAAUCAGUCGCCUGAAAAAUUUCUUACCUCCAUUGUCUCGGAUUCCCUUAAAAAUUCGAUGCAUCUUUCAGUGACACAUUUGCGAUGUAAAUGCAACGCUACCAUAUAACGGAGAGCUACUUAUUUCCCUUUCGUGGUCAAAUCGAAGAUUCACAACCGCGAAUCUGUAAAACUGAUGGUCGGCCGAAUCGCGGAUUUCGUUUCGUAUUCUGAAAAGCACUUCGUAAGCGAUAUUUCGGCAAGCGCUAUUGAUCGUCUAAAAGCAGCUUGAAUUAUUCACAAAUCGGAGAACACCUAAAAAUCUAAUAUUUAAAAAAAUGGGAUAGAAAAAUGCUCUCAUAAAAAUGUAAAGAGCUGAACAUAAAAAUACCUAAAAAUCAGAACGUUUAAAAUAUGAAAAUAAAAUCCAAGGAUUUUUCAACGCUAUAAACAAAUAAUGAAGAGGAAAUUAAUAUUCGCUGCGUAAUUCAUAUUCAUCGCUUUACAAUUCAGGAAACGUUUUUAAAACAGUUUUAUUUAAAUAAUACAAAGAUAAACGUGGAAGGUAAUUUCCGUAUACUUUUGGAAAUAAUUGGAUAUGUGUAUCAGUACAUAUCAUAUCGUAAAAGAUUCUUCGGCUAUCACAUCGAAUAAAAGAAAUUGUCGUAAAGGGUCUUAAAUAAAGUAGCGAUAUUUACUUUUAUCGUUGCUACUAUCAGUUUUUCCAAAUAACUUCAAUGUAUUUUUACAAUCCAUAUGUUAUACUUCAAUUGAUACAAUAUAGGCCAUAUAGUAAUCAUUGACCUUUAAACAAGCAUUGAAACUCGGUUUCGUUCUUGAUAUACUGUUUCACAGUUUAGAACAUUUCGAUCUAUUUUUAACAAAUGCAAUUCACAAUAUAUUACGAUUCUUUUUAUAUUUAAAUCAAAUUUUCUUUUCUCUUCUCUAUAUAUAUACACACAAUUAUUUUAUAAUAUUUACACAUUAAUAGUUUCGGGUUACAAUCAGGGUUGGGAAAUAACACGUUACUUGUAACACCUUUACAGUUACCUUUUUUUAAAUAACAAUUAUUUUUUAUUCUGUCUGUAACGGUAACGGUAACAUCGUUACAUUUUGACAGUAACGAUUACAAAUUUUAUCCUUACUUUAUAAAUAUAAUACAUGCUUAAAGACUGUACGAUUAAACACACAAAAUCAAUAAAUAUCGAUUACGCUAAAGACUUUGUAAGCAUGUCAUUCUGGAAAAAAA
rnacentral:lncRNA from 1 species